rnacentral:rRNA from 1 species
AAUUUUGGACAAUGGGGGAAACCCUGAUCCAGCCAUCCCGUUAGUAUGAUGAUUGACUUAGGGAUGUCAAUUACUUUUGGCAGAGAAAAAAAGGUACCUCCUAAUACGAGGUACUGCUGACGAUAUCUCCAGAAUAAGCACCGGCUAACUACGUGCCAGCAGCCGCGGUAAUACGUAGGGUGCAAGCGUUAAUCGGAAUUACUGGGCGUAAAGCGUGUGUAGGCGGUUCGGAAAGAAAGAUGUGAAAUCCCAGGGCUCAACCUUGGAACUGCAUUUUUAACUGCCGAGCUAGAGUAUGUCAGAGGGGGGUAGAAUUCCACGUGUAGCAGUGAAAUGCGUAGAUAUGUGGAGGAAUACCGAUGGCGAAGGCAGCCCCCUGGGAUAAUACUGACGCUCAGACACGAAAGCGUGGGGAGCAAACAG